GGAUUGCCCCAGUAGCGGCGAGUGAAGCGGCAAGAGCUCAGAUUUGAAAUCGUGUUUCGGCACGAGUUGUAGAGUGUAGGCGGGAGUCUCUGUGGAGCGCGGUGUCCAAGUCCCUUGGAACAGGGUGCCUGAGAGGGUGAGAGCCCCGUAGGGUGCUGCGCGAAGCUUUUGAGGCCCUGCUGACGAGUCGAGUUGUUUGGGAAUGCAGCUCCAAGCGGGUGGUAAAUUCCAUCUAAGGCUAAAUAUUGGCGAGAGACCGAUAGCGAACAAGUACUGUGAAGGAAAGAUGAAAAGCACUUUGAAAAGAGAGUGAAACAGCACGUGAAAUUGUUGAAAGGGAAGGGUAUUGGGCUCGACAUGGGGGGUGCGCACCGCUGUCUCUUGUAGGCGGCGCUCUGGGCGCCCUCUGGGCCAGCAUCGGUUCCUGCUGCGGGAGAAGGGGCUCCGGAAAGUGGCUCUUCGGAGUGUUAUAGCCGGGGCCAGAUGCCGCGUGUGGGGACCGAGGACUGCGGCUUCUGUCUCGGAUGCUGGCAUAACGGCGCAAUACCGC
rnacentral:rRNA from 1 species